AAGUCGUAACAAGGUUUCCGUAGGUGAACCUGCGGAAGGAUCAUUAUCAUAACGUAUCCACGUAUAAACUAACUCUUUGAUGUGAAACGUAACUGUUUAACACCUCAUGCGUAAUCAAAUGAUUGCUGUAUUACAACGUUUUUUUUUGCGUGAUUAAAGCAAAAAACACCGUAAUAUGGACCUGGCUUUCGGGCCUAGCUUUGGUUAUAUAUAUGAGUGUAAAUCAAUUUAAUCUUAUUAACCAAUUGAACCGAUUAACUAUUCGUAGUUAUUCAUUCUAAUUCUAUUGUGUGAACUGAAUUGUCAUUUACGCAUUUCUGUAAAAGGAAAAAGCGAAGUGAUUCUAUUUACGAAACAUUAUAAAUUUCUAUGAACAACUCUUAGCAACGGAUAUCUUGGUUCUC
rnacentral:misc_RNA from 1 species